GCGCGUGAGGCAGGCGCCGAGGGGAAUCCUACCUAGGAAGAGGAAAGGAGUGAGGGAAAGCUCAUUUCCAUUACACACACAUCCCGUCGAUAUUUGACCUGGCUGAGCAAAGACUGCGUAGCGUAGACACUGUAUUCCGUGUUCUGGCUCGACUCUCGCAAAUGCCAUGGCGGAGCUGGAGGAGGGGCUGAUGGCGUAGGCAGGAGGUGGAUCCACAAAAGGGGGGAGCAAUGUGUCUCACCAGGACGGCUGAGCGAGUGCUGGACAGCUGCAUGGCUCGAAGAGAGAGGGAAAAGAAAACGGACGUGGAAGUGACGUUGGUCGUUGAGGGACGCACUUGCGGUUUAUAUAGGCCUCGCCCGGUGGGGCGCUCUCCGUUAAAGCGGCGAGACGUGACACUAUCCCUAAUAUGGUAUUUCUCGUACUGCCAC
rnacentral:lncRNA from 1 species